UUCAAGUUGAUACUUUAUAUUUAGCUGAGUCGGGGUGUCCGACUGACGCUUCUGUGUUUGUGAAAUUAAAUCAAGGGGCCUUGCUUUGAGAGAUGGUGCAAGCACUUCUUUCAUUUGCCUCCUUUUCCUAUUCCCUUUGCCACCAAUUUCUGGAAUACCUGAACCAUCCAGUGCUAACAUAAACACAGCUAGGGUUGAUCCGACAAAGAUGGGGGUCGGACGGGCCAUUGCUGUACUGACAUCAGGUGGUGAUGCCCAAGACUCUGCGUGUAUGUUGGGCAUGAGGAAGACAGGACUGGUGUUAGCCUCUGGCUGAAUUGAAAGAACAAACAGAUUUUGAACACUGUAUUCCGCAGAACCAGUGGUGGUUGAAGCUGAGGCCUAUUAUGAAGAUCUUGGCCAAGUACAAGAUUAGUCUGGACACCUCUGAACACGCUCUUAUGGAGCAUGUCAUCAGCAGGAAGCCUCCAAUUCACGACUCUCACGUAGUAAUCAUGAGCAAAAAUGUGGGCCGACAGAUACAAAAAAAAAAAAAAAAAAACCAUAUGAAAUGACUGAAUUAUUUAUUUAAAUUAUUUGUUCAUCUGUCUAUUUCUUAUACUUUCAUUUUGUUUGUAUUUAUAGUAUUUAUGGUAAUGCUUGUGCACUAUUUUAUCUGAUACAAAAUCUGACUGAAUAUAAAUUUCUUAGACAAGAAAGAUUUAUUUCCUAUAUAUAAAGGAAACUUUUAUAUAAUUGUCCAGUAAAAGAACUAUGUUCACCACCAAAUGUCAGUCAUGAAUGGAUCAUCCUAGAAAUGCUAUAAUACAUCUGUAUGUUUAUUCAUUGUUAUGCAUUAUUGAAAUAAUGACACACAUUGUCUUAAUUUACAUGUACUGGUUGGAUGAAAUGCUCCUUUACUUUAAACUCCUUU
ensembl:lncRNA